ACACUUGUGUGGACCAGCUUGCACAACAUAUUUCAUUCAUAUGUCCAUCAUCAAAACUUCAGUUCCCUAACACAAGUUAACUUGUACAUUAUAGUAUAAGAUUAUUAAAAAUGUUAUAGUAGAGAAAAAUAAGAAGUGACUAAAAGCAAUGGAUGAGAAUUUUUCAAAACUUUCAGGUUCAGGGUGUGUUUAGUAUGAAAGAAAUGUUUCUCAAUCUUUUCAUGUAUGAUUAGCCUAAAUGUUUUUGAAAACUCUUUUUAAACCUCAAUCUGAGACCCAACUCCUAAUCCCGACCCCUACCCAUCGCUCCAAACCCCGACCUGUUUUCGACCCCAACUUGGACCCAAUUCUCUAUUCUGACCGAAUUUCUAAC
rnacentral:lncRNA from 1 species